UCCCUCCACCACAAUUCUUUCUACUUAGUGCGUUGCCAAGCUAGUCUUGGUGAUUCUGAUCUAGCCCCUUAGACUGGACCAGCAUGCCUGGGUCUUAGCAUGCGAUUUUCUUGGCCUUCUGGAGUCUCCUCUCCAUGACAACCAAAGCUUUGUAUCUGUGGAAAAUCUUGUAUGGAAGAGAUUUUCUGAUUUACUUUUCAGUGGAUCCUGUUGGGCCCCCUCAUCUGUGUUGGAAGUGCUGCAGCACAAGGAAAAAUUGGAUGAAAGUCAAGACAGCCUAUUUGAAUUAAUAUUAUUUCAGUGCAUUGAAACAAACAAGGUGAUUAAACUAAGAACCAAGAAAACAACUAAAUUAUCCAAUCUGAAAAAUUGUCUAAGUUGUCAAGGAACUAGUAAUGGGACAGGUAGAGUAUGAGCCAAGGCAGUAGAACUCCUGAGGAUGACUAGAGCUUCCUGCGUCCAUCAGCUAUUCAAAUGCUUUUAGAACCAUCACUAAGAUUCGAGACAUAAUGAAUAAAUUGACCCACUCAGAAAAUAUUGAUCUGUCACCUGAAGCAUCUCAGUGAUGAAGUGCAAAUCAAGGAAAAUAAAGAGGUGAACAGUAAAAUGCACCUUCAAGAAAAUCUCAAAGCAUAGAUCCAGACAUCUUAUCUUAACCUUACUAAUUUUGCAUAAAUUCGGGGUAAUUUUGUCAAUGGAUGGUGAGAAAUCAAUCCUUUUGCAUGUGAAUUUAUUACUACCUAUUUCCCUUUUUAAAUCUACUGCUAGAAGCCUUUUUACUGCGGCACAGAACUACAUG